CCUACGGGGGGCAGCAGUGGGGAGUAUUGGACAAUGGGCGAAAGCCUGUUCCAGCAAUGCCGCGUGUGUGAAGAAGGUCUUCGGAUUGUAAAGCACUUUCGACGGGGACGAUGAUGACGGUACCCGUAGAAGAAGCCCCGGCUAACUUCGUGCCAGCAGCCGCGGUAAUACGAAGGGGACUAGCGUUGCUCGGAAUGACUGGGUGUAAAGGGCGCGUAGGCGGUUUAUGCAGUCAGAUGUGGAAUCCCCGGGCUUAACCUGGGAACUGCAUUUGAGACGCAUAGACUAGAGGUCGAGGGAGGGUUGUGGAAUUCCCAGUGUAGAGGUGAAAUUCGUAGAUAUUGGGAAGAACACCGGAGGCGAAGGCGGCAACCUGGCUCGAUACUGACGCUGAGGCGCGAAAGCGUGGGGAGCAAACAGGAUUAGAUACCCGCGUAGUC
rnacentral:rRNA from 1 species